GACGUAGGGCGCGAGCGUUGUCCGGAUUUAUUGGGCGUAAAGAGCUCGUAGGCGGCUGUCGCGUCGACUGUGAAAACCCGCGGCUCAACUGUGGGCUUGCAGUCGAUACGGGCAGGCUGGAGUUCGGUAGGGGAGACUGGAAUUCCUGGUGGAGCGGUGAAAUGCGCAGAUAUCAGGAGGAACACCGGUGGCGAAGGCGGGCCUGCUGGGCAG
rnacentral:rRNA from 1 species